UUCUCUAGUUUCACAGCAUCGCUAACAUUGUGAUAUAAUAGGCCCACUUUCCUAAUUGUAUUUGUGUGUCAAUCAUAAUUAACAGUGUGAUAUAAUAGCCCCGCGUUUCCUCUAUCCGUAUUUGUGUGUCAAAAUCUAACGACCACAAUAACCGUUAUAAACCAGGUAUGAUUUCACUGGAAUUAUACCAUACAUACACAUGUCACUAUCAAUUUGUGAGAAUAUAUUGUUAUGAGCAUGGGAAUUCAACAAUAUUCUGAAGAAAUUUGAUACAUACAAUAAUUUUUUAUACAUGUAGAUUGUUGCUGACAUUAUUCACAUUUUUUUAUACAUAGGUGACAAAUAUUAAAAGUUAGCGAGUGCUAAUACCUAAAAGGUGAAUCUGAACACCGAAAAACAUGCCCUAAACCCAAAAUACUUAACCUAAACCCUAACAAUAGUUUAGAUUCGCUUCCUCUUUCCU
rnacentral:lncRNA from 1 species